GCCCAGGUGGCGGAAUUGGCAGACGCGCUAGGUUGAGGGCCUAGUUCCCGUUUUAGGGAGUGCUGGUUCGACUCCAGUCCUGGGCA
rnacentral:tRNA from 1 species